rnacentral:rRNA from 1 species
CCUACGGGUGGCAGCAGUGGGGAAUAUUGGACAAUGGGCGAAAGCCUGAUCCAGCCAUGCCGCGUGUGUGAAGAAGGCCUUCGGGUUGUAAAGCACUUUCAGUGGGGAAGAAAGCCUUGGGGCUAAUACCCUCGAGGAAGGACAUCACCCACAGAAGAAGCACCGGCUAACUCCGUGCCAGCAGCCGCGGUAAUACGGAGGGUGCGAGCGUUAAUCGGAAUUACUGGGCGUAAAGCGCGCGUAGGCGGUCUGAUAAGCCGGUUGUGAAAGCCCCGGGCUCAACCUGGGAACGGCAUCCGGAACUGUCAGGCUAGAGUGCAGGAGAGGAAGGUAGAAUUCCCGGUGUAGCGGUGAAAUGCGUAGAGAUCGGGAGGAAUACCAGUGGCGGAGGCGGCCUUCUGGACUGACACUGACGCUGAGGUGCGAAAGCGUGGGUAGCAAACAGGAUUAGAUACCCGGGUAGUC